AGUUCGGAUGCUUCGAGAGCUGAGUACACACGUCGUAUCGACCAUUGAUAAUGAAAUACCGUGACAAAUGUUCGAACGCUUUUGAGAAUUCUCCCCGUUGUGCGAAUCGGCACGGGCGCGUUAAGUUCUCACGAUGCAAUUCGUGACAGGUGCACGCUAAAGAUAUCCCCUUUAAACACAGGUUCAAAGUGAGGCGGUAAUUUAUUGAUCCACGCGGCAAUGUUCAAUCCGCUUUCAGAGAUUAAGCAAAGGUACGUGUAGCAAAAAGGUUAACAUCGUUCCCCUUUGUCUACGGUUCUCCUGUUUUUGAAUACUUUCCUGGUACGUCCGUGAACCUGGGAACGUCGAACGGGGGCCAGGAAUCGGGCAACGAUGAGGGAUUUAACAUCUGGCCGUCGCGCGGGCACACACGAGGUUCUUACGAGUUAAGACGAUUCGCAAACGGACGUGUUCACCGACGGAACGAAGCUCGUGACCGAAGGCUGCUACGAAUCAAGGUUAUCCUACCGUACCGUGCAAUUUCACCGAUAAUAGGACAAUUCCGACUGCACCAAUGGCUUUUUACCGCGUUUCUUGGACACCAUUGUCGGCACACUUGUUUUAUGGAACAAAACUAACGUUUGCAUCGUAAAUCCCGGGUCUCGCCUCUGUCACCUUUGAAUAAAAGAUGAAAUAUACUUUUCUUCGGGCACUGGCGAGCUGUAUACUUUAAUUAAAUGCAAUUCGGAUCAACGAGACACGGAAAUUUCACCGGUUACAGUAAAUUACGGUGCCUCGAAGGAGAUCGUAACGACAGGAAAUUGUGGUAAACGUCCAGAGGCCGCGUUACAGUUUUGUUUACGAAUGGAUCGCGACCGACCAGGAAAUGACCAACAAUUCCCAUGGAAAAUAUUAGCAAAUGGCCUAGUGUUCCAUGAAUACGUUAGCUCUUCUUCCAGUUGAUUGCUUCCAACGAGAGGUUGCCGACUUUUCAAAGAAACGCGGUGUUAUUGCCCGCGAAGUGGAGCGGCGGAGCAUUUAAGGAUUUGAUCAGUUCGAGGAGAAAUAGAAUGACUAACUUCGUUGUCCAAAUCAGAAGACACAUGCAGUUCGAUAAAAAAAUAUUAAAGGACAGAACAGAUGGAAAGAGUUUAAUUAUACAGAAUUGUGGGAACGUCGCUGCAGACGUGGGAGACUUGGAAUCCCAAACUUGAAAGUUAAUGUUAUCUCAUAAACCACCUGAGUUACUGUUUGAUUGCUGCGUGUCUCUCUUAUGACUUGACAGUCGCUUACCAUCCAACAAGAACUCUGAGAGAUCGAAGUGGCUGAACUGUCAAUUGCCUGAGCUUCACGAAAUGAGACCCGUAACAUCGGCUAUUAAAACUUUCGACUCUAACUUAAUCUAGGAUACUUAAAAUCUUCCGAACUAGAAUAAUAAAGCUUGAGCUUUAAGCUCGAAUAUCAUGUGACACGAUUUUAUUAUAAAGACUACAAUAAAACGAUUUGUAUGAAUUGA